rnacentral:lncRNA from 1 species
CCGGGAUUGGGCUAGGCUCGGGGAAGAGGCGGGCAGAAGCCUGUGAUUGGUAAGAACCGCGUGUUCCUGGAUUUGAAGGCCCGAAGCCGCGCAGUUUAGAUGGGAGAAACCUUCCCGUAGGCGCCGUUGUGAAAACCAUGGGAUUCAUUCCUCAGUGUGAGAUCUCCCCAAAGAGACGAUUCGAUGUGACAAUUAUCUAAGCUCAGAGAUAAAGAAGUUACUAUCUGGGCUGGAAUAAUAAUUCACUCAGUGAAGUGCUUGACUUGCAGCCACGUGGACUGGAGUCAGUGACAGAAUCAACCAGGCAAGAAAGACCUUGUCUCACACACAAAGCCGUCAUCUCCUGAAGACGCCAGGACUGUCCCUGUUAUGUUCCAACUCACCCUCCAGACCUGAGAAUUAUGAUUAUCAAACUGAGCCACAAUAUGGAUUUCAAAUUUUGUUGGACCACCAGAGGAGCGUGAACAGAGCGAGCACACAAAAUCACCUGCAGAGAUGCCAGAGGGGUGACUACAGCAGAAGCAGCAGAGACGAGCAAUCCUGCGACCAAGCUGUGAAAGCCACAGGCAGUUUGGUAGCCUGACAGCUAAAGUAGCCCCUUCACUGGUUGUCUGUGCACGGAAGCAAGCAUCGAAAUGCAGAAGUACGUUCUCUCCCAAUAUUGCUGUAUUACCUUAGUAAAUACCAUUCCUAAAGGCUAUAAUUUGAUGUCUGCUACAUAAAUCAGCUGCACUCCUUGGCCAACAAAGGACCCAGGAUCGGUUCUCCCAACAAGAUGGAUCACAAUCUUAACUCCCUCUUCUGACCCGCAAAGACACCAGGUAGUGCACCUUCAUACACGCAGACAGAACACUCACACGAAUAAGUCUUUGAAAUUGUGGGGUUAGGGGAGUGGCCUCGUUCCUGGUGGCGCACAUAUUUAAUCACACCACUCUCGGCAGAGGCAGGCAGAUCACUUGGGGAUACAGGACUGAGACCCUGUCUCCCAAAAAAAAAAAAAAAAAAAAAAAAAAAAAAAAAAACAUCGUAGCACAUUCAACGCACACUUGUGAUAACCAUCUUCAGAGACCACUUGAACAUGAACAAGAAUUAAAACCUGGUGUCCAGCUAUUUUGGCGUUGUGAAGGAGUUCAGACUUGGAACCCCAGCGUGGUGAAACUGAGACUGGAGGACUACAGCCGGGUCUAGAGUCUAAGAUAAUCUCAGAAAACGUGUGUGUGUGUGACUGGCGUGUAUUAGCCCUUCAGGGCAUCCCAUGUGUCCUGGGCAGAGGAACACAGGCGAGGCCCACAGGAAUGACACACACAGCCGGGCGGAGCCUGCGUCCGGACCUCGCUGCAGCAGCAGACGAAGCUGGGAGACGGAGGAUGGAAAAGUGAAAGCACCUUCCGGGGUCAGCCUGGGGGUGUGCGCCUCCGAAAACACGUGAUCCGUGCACAGAGCUAGUAGACACUUCCCGCAGCCAAUUUGAGUGGGUGGUUCAACCGCGUAACCAGAGCUUCUUAGGAAUGAUGGGGACGCCCAAAGUUGUGGCUUAGGGAGUCCCGCUCAGCGAGUGCAAAGUCCGCCCGAAGGAUGAAAUUGAAGAGGAGUGGAGAACCUGAAGCAGCAGUCAGUGAUGAAAGAUGGCACAAGUACAGCAGGCUCAAGGGUGUCAGCAAAACAGAAUGUGGAAAAAGACUUUCUAGAAAGUCACCUGGGGUGAUGGCAAGACCCAGAAGGAUAUCCAAUAUUUACUUGAAUGGAGCCAGUCUUUAAUGGAGAGUUCCAGCUCCAGAGAAUCUGAAACAUCUGGAUUCCUUGAGGAUCUUCACUCUUCCUGCACACAACAGAUAAACAUACACACAGAGACAUAAAUAAAAGUAAUCCUUUCUGAGAUUUUAUUCCUAUUUUAGAGGUAGAGCCCAGGUCCAUCAGCUGUGUGUAAAACUAAUAACUAUUCAUUAAUUCCCAGAAACAAAACACACUAUAAUAAAAAAGUACAAUUAAGUCUAUACUUUUAAAAGUGAGCUGAAAGUCAGCUGUGGUAGGUGGAGAGGACCAACCACCUGGAAGGCUCUGAGAUCAUCCUCUUGGCAGAACUGCAGGGAAGACGUGGUUUGUUCAAUCCCCAGAGGUUUCUCCCGCAUUAAGAUGCUCCUGGAUAUAACCAGAACACCACCGGGCUGCAAGAGGACUAUCUGUCAGGCAAUUAUUGAGUAUUUUCCGAAAGUGAUGCUGCCAUGCAAAAUGUUUUAAAAUAAAUUGGGAAGAGCAGCGUCCUGGGUGGGCAGCAAGCCGUCUUUGCGGUUGUGAUGGGACUCUGGCCUCCUGACUCAGAGCUGUUGACAUAGGAACGGUACUUAACUGGGGAACUGACCGGCUCAGCAGUGCCGGAAUCACUUCUGUGACAUCAUCUGUGUCCCGCUGCCAGUAAAUGUUCUGAAAAUACUGUUCUGGAAAGGCUAUGUCUCAAUGAGAACAGUCAGUCUGCCAAAAUAAUUCUCACCACCUCCUGACUCCAAACAAGCUGGCCAUACAAACCAGAGUCAUGAAUGGCUGACUCUGCAAGGAGCCAGUCCUGAGAGUUCCUGACCAGGUACUUGAACACAUACAUGUAGGACCUAUGGAGGCCAGAAGAGGGAUCCCCUGGAGCUAAAAUUAACAGCAGUUGCAAGGUACCUAACAUAGGUG